rnacentral:pre_miRNA from 1 species
UGUGUACUCCCUCCGUUCCAAAAUACUUGACUUCCAUUUGUCCAAAAAUGGAUGUACCUAUGUACUAAAACAUGUCUAGGUACAUAUAUAUUUUGACAAAUAGAAGGCAUGUAUUGUGCAACGGAGGGAGUAGAAU